AACUUUUAGCAAUGGAUCACUUGGCUCUCGCAUCGAUGAAGAACGCAGCGAAAUGCGAUAAGUACUGUGAAUUGCAGAAUUCCGUGAAUCAUCGAAUCUUUGAAAGCACCUUGCGCUCCUUGGUAUUCCGAGGAGCAUGCCUGUUUGAGUGUCAUGAAAUCUUCAACCUAUAAGCUUUUGUGGUUUGUAGGCUUGGACUUGGAGGCUUGUCGGCCUUGAGCGGUCGGCUUCUCUUAAAUGCAUUAGCUUGAUUCCUUGCGGAUCGGCUCUCGGUGUGAUAAUAUCUACGCCGCGACCGUGAAGCGUUUGGCGAGCUUCUAACCGUCUCACUUGAGAGACAACUUUAUGACCUCUGACCUCAAAUCAGGUAGGACUACCCGCUGAACUUAAGCAUAUCAAUAAGCGGAGGCU
rnacentral:misc_RNA from 1 species